UCCUCUGUGGCGCAAUUGGCUAGCGCGUCUGACUGUUAAUCAGGAGGUUGAAAGUUCGAGCCUUUCCGGAGGAG
rfam:Claviceps purpurea 20.1, WGS project CAGA01000000 data, contig: scaffold00063